CCUGGGUUUCUCCUCCAGUCAUUUAUCUUGAGAAAACACCAAGGCAGAAAGCUACAUUACGCGCAAUUGUUGCUGGGAAGAUCCCGUUAGCAAGAUGACUAUAAUUUUGAUGGCUUACAUUGGAUUUAUUCUCCUUGCCAUGCAUUUUUCAUCACAGGUCCACGCGCAAAAUGCUACAACACAGUCCCCUGCCAUGAAUGCUACGACCAAAGCUGGCGGUGCGAGUUCCAACAUGACCAAGAUGCCCGAUGUCACCAAGAACAACAUUCCCAAAGGAGCCAGUGCACCCUUGCAGUCCAACUCGGUUGCGCUCAUCAUACCCAUCAUGGUGGGGGGCUCACUACAGGGGCGCUUCUAGAGGGCUGUUCAGUGAACAGACACCGGCAAGACUUUAACAUCAGCGGCCGAGAUGGGGCAAACUUUUUUUACUAAGAGCAUAUUUUGUAUAUACUUUUCAGAAAGGCAGUCAUGUGCGCUCCUUUCUACUUCACUGAUGGGAAUUGUUAUUUGCCCUCACACUUUCAAACCAGUAGGCCUUCAUACCUCUCACACUGGCCCCAAGCCCAUAGGCCGAAUGGUUCGGUCCUCUCCAUUGAGGCAGUCCAUGAUGAGGAUGCACUCUGCUCUUUGAACCGUUUGGUCCCGCUGUUCCUGUGUAAACACCAGGGGGUAGUUUAGUAAUUUGUUAAGAAGUUAAAAUAUCUAAAGAAAUGUUGGUUGAGGCACUUAGAAAAUAAGGUAUAGAAUCUGUGGCACAUGCACAGACAGUGGCAUUUCUGCACCUGCAGUGAGUACUUUGUCAGAGGCUUGAUGUACACUUGUUGUGAUUUAUUUCUAGAAUAUGGAAUUGUACGGGUUAGCAUGUGAGAUUUAAUUGUAUAAAUAAUGUGAUAUGCUCAUUUGUUUUUAAGGCCAGGUUCAAUAAACCUUUGAAAUGUAGGAUACUUGUGACACGUUUCUUGUAUAAUAAAAAUACUUUAACAUAA